rnacentral:rRNA from 1 species
AGAGCGGGAGCCCGGAGAUGGGCACUGAGACAAGGGCCCAGGCCCUACGGGGCGCAGCAGUCGCGAAAACUUUGCAAUACACGAAAGUGUGACAGGGCUAUCCCGAGUGCCAUCCGCUGAGGAAGGCUUUUACCCAGUCUAGAAAGCUGGGGGAAUAAGGAGAGGGCAAGUCUGGUGUCAGCCGCCGCGGUAAUACCAGCUCUCCGAGUGGUGUGGAUGUUUAUUGGGCCUAAAGCAUCCGUAGCUGGCUAAGUUAGUCCCCUGUUAAAUCCAGCGAAUUAAUCGUUGGAUCGCGGGGGAUACUGCUUGGCUAGGGGACGAGAGAGGCAGACGGUAUUUCCGGGGUAGGGGUGAAAUCCUAUAAUCCCGGGAAGACCACCAGUGGCGAAGGCUGUCUGCUAGAACGCGCCCGACGGUGAGGGAUGAAAGCUGGGGGAGCGAACCGGAUUAGAUACCCGGGUAGUCCCAGCUGUAAACGAUGCAGGCUAGGUGUUUGGACGGCCACGUGCCGUUCUAGUGCCGCAGGGAAGCUGUUAAGCCUGCCGCCUGGGGAGUACGAUCGCAAGAUUGAAACUUAAAGGAAUUGGCGGGGGAGCACCACAAGGGGUGAAGCUUGCGGUUUAAUUGGAGUCAACGCCGGG